UCGCUCCACAGCAAGCGGUGUCGCUACCUCACCAACAAACUCGCCAUGUUCUCCUUUCCCAACGCGCCCUCCUUCUUCCUCCUCCUCCUCCUCCCUCUCCUCUUUCUGCUCUCCCCCGCUUCCGGCGCAGGGUCCCCUGCCUCGUUGUCGAACGGCACUACCGUUUACGACCUCCUCCCGGAGUACGGCCUGCCGCCAGGUAUCCUCCCGGACACCGUCAAGUCCUUCUCCCUCGCCUCCGGCGGCCGGUUCGUCACCAAACUCUACGGCGCCUGCUACGUCGACUUCGAGUACGUGGUGUACUACGAGCCCCGCGUGUCGGGCGUCGUCAAGUACGGCGCCAUCGAGGAGCUCCAGGGCGUCCAGAUCCGCCGCUACCUCGUCUGGUUCAACGUCGACACCAUCAGGCUCGACCCCUCCUCCUCCGACUUCAUCUACUUUGAAGGCAGUUGGAUCUCCCUCAAGCUCCGGAUCGACCAGUUCCAGACCGUGCACUCUUGCAGGGGCAGCCUCUCGCUGCUCGGCCGCGCCAAGGAGGUCGCCCGUUCCAUGUUCGAGAGCAUUUUCGCACCUCAACUUUGAUGGAGUAAUGUGAGAGAAAAACCAGUAUGCUAAUGAAUGGAAAGCCUGAAGCUCUAAGAACUCGUGAGAGAAGUAAGCAUGCUGGCCAUGAUAUAUGGAUAAAGCUAGAGACUAGUUGAUGGUCUGUGUCUAUUGGAGUCUCUCUAUAAGUUCUUCUCUCAAGAAAUUGCUGUGUGUGGCUAAUGAGUAGUCUGUUGUUCCAUAAUCAAAACCUUCUAAGAAGAACCGAUGUAACUAUGAAUUUGAUUAUUCGAAUGGUUAUAUUUUAGUUGUUUAUUGUUAUUUA